rnacentral:misc_RNA from 1 species
AGGCUCUUGCAUCGAUGAAGAACGCAGCGAAAUGCGAUAAGUAAUGUGAAUUGCAGAAUUCAGUGAAUCAUCGAAUCUUUGAACGCACCUUGCGCUCGUUGGUAUUCCAAGGAGCAUGCCUGUUUGAGUGUCGCGACUAUAUUUUCAUUGAAAGAGUUGGGUGGUUGCCUUUGAUCACCAAAGGCUCACCUUGAAUAUAUAAGAGCAAUGUUAGACGAUGAUAGGUGACUAACAUUGGUUGCAACCUCAUUUUGACCUCAAAUCAGGUAGGACUACCCGCUGA